rnacentral:rRNA from 1 species
AGAGUUUGAUCCUGGCUCAGGAUGAACGCUGGCGGCGUGCUUAACACAUGCAAGUCGAGCGAAGCACUUAGGAAAGAUUCUUCGGAUGAUUUCCUUUGUGACUGAGCGGCGGACGGGUGAGUAACGCGUGGGUAACCUGCCUCAUACAGGGGGAUAACAGUUAGAAAUGACUGCUAAUACCGCAUAAGACCACGGUACCGCAUGGUACAGUGGUAAAAACUCCGGUGGUAUGAGAUGGACCCGCGUCUGAUUAGGUAGUUGGUGGGGUAACGGCCUACCAAGCCGACGAUCAGUAGCCGACCUGAGAGGGUGACCGGCCACAUUGGGACUGAGACACGGCCCAAACUCCUACGGGAGGCAGCAGUGGGGAAUCUUCCGCAAUGGACGAAAGUCUGACGGAGCAACGCCGCGUGAGUGAUGAAGGAUUUCGGUCUGUAAAGCUCUGUUGUUUAUGACGAACGUGCAGUGUGUGAACAAUGCAUUGCAAUGACGGUAGUAAACGAGGAAGCCACGGCUAACUACGUGCCAGCAGCCGCGGUAAUACGUAGGUGGCGAGCGUUGUCCGGAAUUAUUGGGCGUAAAGAGCAUGUAGGCGGCUUAAUAAGUCGAGCGUGAAAAUGCGGGGCUCAACCCCGUAUGGCGCUGGAAACUGUUAGGCUUGAGUGCAGGAGAGGAAAGGGGAAUUCCCAGUGUAGCGGUGAAAUGCGUAGAUAUUGGGAGGAACACCAGUGGCGAAGGCGCCUUUCUGGACUGUGUCUGACGCUGAGAUGCGAAAGCCAGGGUAGCGAACGGGAUUAGAUACCCCGGUAGUCCUGGCCGUAAACGAUGGGUACUAGGUGUAGGAGGUAUCGACCCCUUCUGUGCCGGAGUUAACGCAAUAAGUACCCCGCCUGGGGAGUACGGCCGCAAGGUUGAAACUCAAAGGAAUUGACGGGGGCCC